rnacentral:rRNA from 1 species
AUACAGAGGGUGCGAGCGUUAAUCGGAAUUACUGGGCGUAAAGCGCGCGUAGCCGGCUUAUUAAGUCAGAUGUGAAAUCCCCGGGCUCAACCUGGGAACUGCAUCUGAUACUGGUAAGCUAGAGUUUUGGAGAGGGAAGUAGAAUUUCAGGUGUAGCGGUGAAAUGCAUAGAGAUCUGAAGGAAUACCAGUGGCGAAGGCGACUUCCUGGCCAAAAACUGACGCUGAGGUGCGAAAGCGUGGGUAGCAAACAGGAUUAGAAACCCUAGUAGUCC